rnacentral:rRNA from 1 species
UUGACCUCAAAUCGGGUGAKACUACCCGCUGAACUUAAGCAUAUCAAU